GCAUAUCAAUAAGCGGAGGAAAAGAAACCAACAGGGAUUGCCCCAGUAACGGCGAGUGAAGCGGCAACAGCUCAAAUUUGAAAUCUGGCCCCUAGGGCCCGAGUUGUAAUUUGCAGAGGAUGCUUUUGGCAAGGCGCCGCCCGAGUUCCCUGGAACGGGACGCCGCAGAGGGUGAGAGCCCCGUCUGGCUGGACGCCGAGCCUUUGUAAAGCUCCUUCGACGAGUCGAGUAGUUUGGGAAUGCUGCUCUAAAUGGGAGGUAUAUGUCUUCUAAAGCUAAAUAUUGGCCAGAGACCGAUAGCGCACAAGUAGAGUGAUCGAAAGAUGAAAAGCACUUUGAAAAGAGGGUUAAACAGUACGUGAAAUUGUUGAAAGGGAAGCGCUCAUGACCAGACUUGGGCUUGGCGGAUCAUCCGGCGUUCUCGCCGGUGCACUUCGCCUCGCCCAGGCCAGCAUCAGUUCGCCCCGGGGGACAAAAGCUUCGGGAAUGUGGCUCCUCCGGGAGUGUUAUAGCCCGUUGCACAAUACCCUGGGGCGGACUGAGGUUCGCGCGUCCGCAAGGAUGCUGGCGUAAUGGUCAUCAGCGACCCGUCUUGAAACACGGACCAAGGAGUCGUCCUCGUAUGCGAGUGUUCGGGUGUCAAACCCCUACGCGUAAUGAAAGUGAACGCAGGUGAGAGCUUCGGCGCAUCAUCGACCGAUCCUGAUGUUCUCGGAUGGAUUUGAGUAAGAGCAUACGGGGCCGGACCCGAAAGAAGGUGAACUAUGCCUGUAUAGGGUGAAGCCAGAGGAAACUCUGGUGGAGGCUCGCAGCGGUUCUGACGUGCAAAUCGAUCGUCAAAUAUGGGCAUGGGGGCGAAAGACUAAUCGAACCUUCUAGUAGCUGGUUUCCGCCGAAG
rnacentral:rRNA from 1 species